rnacentral:rRNA from 1 species
GAUGAACGCUGGCGGCGUGCCUAAUACAUGCAAGUCGAGCGAAUGGAUUAAGAGCUUGCUCUUAUGAAGUUAGCGGCGGACGGGUGAGUAACACGUGGGUAACCUGCCCAUAAGACUGGGAUAACUCCGGGAAACCGGGGCUAAUACCGGAUAACAUUUUGAACCGCAUGGUUCGAAAUUGAAAGGCGGCUUCGGCGGUCACUUAUGGAUGGACCCGGGUCGCAUUAGCUAGUUGGUGAGGUAACGGCUCACCAAGGCAACGAUGCGUAGCCGACCUGAGAGGGUGAUCGGCCAUACUGGGACUGAGACACGGCCCAGACUCCUACGGGAGGCAGCAGUAGGGAAUCUUCCGCAAUGGACGAAAGUCUGACGGAGCAACGCCGCGUGAGUGAUGAAGGCUUUCGGGUCGUAAAACUCUGUUGUUAGGGAAGAACAAGUGCUAGUUGAAUAAGCUGGCACCUUGACGGUACCUAACCAGAAAGCCACGGCUAACUACGUGCCAGCAGCCGCAGUAA